rnacentral:rRNA from 1 species
CCUACGGGAGGCAGCAGUGGGGAAUAUUGCACAAUGGGGGAAACCCUGAUGCAGCGACGCCGCGUGAGUGAAGAAGUACCUCGGUACGUAAAGCUCUAUCAGCAGGGAAGAAAAUGACGGUACCUGACUACGAAGCACCGGCUAACUACGUGCCGGGAGCCGCGGUAAUACGUAGGGGGCAAGCGUUAUCCGGAUAUACUGGGUGGAAAGGGAGCGUAGUCGGGAGGCAAAGUCCGGAGGGAAAUGCCGGGGCCUAACCCCGGUAAAGCUUUGGAAACUGUACGGCUGGAGUGCAGGAGGGGACAGCGGAAUUCCAUGUGUAGCGGUGAAAUGCGUAGAUAUAAGGAGGAACACCAGUGGCGAAGGCGGCUGACUGGACUGUAACUGACGUUGAGGCUCGAAAGCGUGGGGAGCAAACAGGAUUAGAUACCCCUGUAGUC